rnacentral:sRNA from 1 species
AGAGAGCGGACUCGAUCCUGCGCUCCGGCCGGGCUGACCUGCCUGCGUCCAGCCCCGCGCCCUGGGCCUGCCUGGGUCUGGGUCUGGGUCCGAGUCUGGGUCUGGCCCUGCGCUCCAGGCCCGCGGAGGCGACUAUGGACCCCGCCGGGCGCGCCCGGGGCCAAGGGGCCACGGCAGGGGGGCUGCUGCUCCGGGCUGCUGCGGCCGCCAAGGGUCUCAGGGAAGACCUGUGGGGCGCGGCCGCCCUGCCUUGGAGGAGCCUGUCCCGGAUCCCGAAGCGGGAGGGGCUUGGAGAGGAGGACACAGCAGUUGCCGGACACGAGCUCCCUCAGUAUCAGUAGUUUGCAGAUAGCAACCAGGAACGGCCAUGCAUCCCUUGUCAACUUUCUUCUCAGUGAGAACGUUGAUCUGCACCAGAAAGUGGAACCUAAGGAGUCCCCUCUUCAUUUAGCUGUUAUCAACAACCACAUCACGGUUGUAAACAGUUUAUUAAGUGCACAGCAUGAUAUUGACAUCUUAAAUCAGAAGCAGCAAACCCCUCUGCAUGUAGCUGCUGAUUGUGGAAAUGUGGAACUGGUGGAAACCCUGCUGAAGGCAGGCUGUGACUUGAAGGCUGUUGACAAGCAAGGAAAGACUGCCCUGGCUGUGGCCUCCAGGAGCAACCAUAGCCUUGUGGUGGACAUGCUCAUUAAAGCAGAGAGAUACUAUGCCUGGAGAGAGGAGCAUCAUGACAGCAUCAGGGACCCAUCAACAGGCUUUACUCUGACAUUCAAGCAAGAUCACAGUCUGGAGACCAGACAUAUCCGCACACUUCUCUGGGACUUGGCUUACCAUCAGCUGAAGGCCAAUGAGUGGCAGAGGCUGGCCCGUUCGUGGAACUUUACAGAUGACCAGAUUAGAGCCAUUGAGGAGCAGUGGUCGGAAAAGACUCGUCAUUUCAAAAGCAAAACUGACUUAAACUCCAAGAAAUGUGUAGUUUCAUAAAUGCCUAAAGAAAUUGUAUUUACAUGAUUUUCCACUCAGCAUUCAGUUCUUUUGAUGCCAUAAAUUUCUUCUAGCAGUAGCACUGAUUUUCAACUAUGAUGAUGGUGGUGACAAGGAACUCUAACAGAUGAAAGAAGGGUAAUACCAUGAUACUUUUCAACCACUAAAAAGUCAAAUAUAGUUUUUUUGCUGAGGGCAAGUUGUAUAUGAUUUUCCCAUUUCUGUCAUUUGACGUAACACAUGUAAUAAGAUAAUCUAGGAGGGUUUCGUAUGUCAUGUUUUUUAAAAAAACUCAUGGGAGCAGCAUCAUGGUACAGUAAAAAACAACAGUUUUUAUAAUAGACACAUAUGGUUUUGAACUUGGUUUUGCCACUUAUUAGAUGUGAACCUUUGGGCAUGUUAAUGUUGUUUAAGUUCUUAGAGCUUCAGUUUCCUUCUCUAUAAACUGGGAGAGAUGUCUAUUUAAUCCAUAGGGUUGGAAUGAAGAUGAAGGGAAAAUGCCUGUGAAAUGCCUAGCCUCACGCCCAUAGGACGGAAAUCAACUGUUAUUUCUCUUUCAGUAAGAGAAACUGGGUUUGGAAUUUAUAGUCAUUGUUGACUUUAAAUCACACAUUUUGUGUAAUAUAUUACUUAGGAAAGACCAGAAGUAUGUACACCAAUUUUUUUUUUAAAUCUCUUGGUGAUGUAAUUACAGAUGAUUAUUUUCUUUGUACUUUUGGGUACAUUCCAUUCUUUUUUUCACAAUCAACAUGCAUUAUUUUUGUAAUCUAAGUUAUGAAAUAAAUGUCAAAUUAUCAAUUUGUGUCA